rnacentral:rRNA from 1 species
AAGUCGAACGGUAACAGGAAACAGCUUGCUGUUUCGCUGACGAGUGGCGGACGGGUGAGUAAUGUCUGGGAAACUGCCUGAUGGAGGGGGAUAACUACUGGAAACGGUAGCUAAUACCGCAUAACGUCGCAAGACCAAAGAGGGGGACCUUCGGGCCUCUUGCCAUCGGAUGUGCCCAGAUGGGAUUAGCUUGUUGGUGGGGUAACGGCUCACCAAGGCGACGAUCCCUAGCUGGUCUGAGAGGAUGACCAGCCACACUGGAACUGAGACACGGUCCAGACUCCUACGGGAGGCAGCAGUGGGGAAUAUUGCACAAUGGGCGCAAGCCUGAUGCAGCCAUGCCGCGUGUAUGAAGAAGGCCUUCGGGUUGUAAAGUACUUUCAGCGGGGAGGAAGGGAGUAAAGUUAAUACCUUUGCUCAUUGACGUUACCCGCAGAAGAAGCACCGGCUAACUCCGUGCCAGCAGCCGCGGUAAUACGGAGGGUGCAAGCGUUAAUCGGAAUUACUGGGCGUAAAGCGCACGCAGGCGGUUUGUUAAGUCAGAUGUGAAAUCCCCGGGCUCAACCUGGGAACUGCAUCUGAUACUGGCAAGCUUGAGUCUCGUAGAGGGGGGUAGAAUUCCAGGUGUAGCGGUGAAAUGCGUAGAGAUCUGGAGGAAUACCGGUGGCGAAGGCGGCCCCCUGGACGAAGACUGACGCUCAGGUGCGAAAGCGUGGGGAGCAAACAGGAUUAGAUACCCUGGUAGUCCACGCCGUAAACGAUGUCGACUUGGAGGUUGUGCCCUUGAGGCGUGGCUUCCGGAGCUAACGCGUUAAGUCGACCGCCUGGGGAGUACGGCCGCAAGGUUAAAACUCAAAUGAAUUGACGGGGGCCCGCACAAGCGGUGGAGCAUGUGGUUUAAUUCGAUGCAACGCGAAGAACCUUACCUGGUCUUGACAUCCACGGAAGUUUUCAGAGAUGAGAAUGUGCCUUCGGGAACCGUGAGACAGGUGCUGCAUGGCUGUCGUCAGCUCGUGUUGUGAAAUGUUGGGUUAAGUCCCGCAACGAGCGCAACCCUUAUCCUUUGUUGCCAGCGGUCCGGCCGGGAACUCAAAGGAGACUGCCAGUGAUAAACUGGAGGAAGGUGGGGAUGACGUCAAGUCAUCAUGGCCCUUACGACCAGGGCUACACACGUGCUACAAUGGCGCAUACAAAGAGAAGCGACCUCGCGAGAGCAAGCGGACCUCAUAAAGUGCGUCGUAGUCCGGAUUGGAGUCUGCAACUCGACUCCAUGAAGUCGGAAUCGCUAGUAAUCGUGGAUCAGAAUGCCACGGUGAAUACGUUCCCGGGCCUUGUACACACCGCCCGUCACACCAUGGGAGUGGGUUGCAAAAGAAGUAGGUAGCUUAACCUUCGGGAGGGCGCUUACCACUUUGUGAUUCAUGACUGGGGUGAAGUCGUAACAAGGUAACCGUAGGGGAACCUGCGGUUGGAUCACCUCCUUACCUUAAAGAAGC